rnacentral:rRNA from 1 species
GACGAACGCUGGCGGCGUGCUUAACACAUGCAAGUCGAACGGAAAGGCCCUGCUUUUGUGGGGUGCUCGAGUGGCGAACGGGUGAGUAACACGUGAGUAACCUGCCCUUGACUUUGGGAUAACUUCAGGAAACUGGGGCUAAUACCGGAUAGGAGCUCCUGCUGCAUGGUGGGGGUUGGAAAGUUUCGGCGGUUGGGGAUGGACUCGCGGCUUAUCAGCUUGUUGGUGGGGUAGUGGCUUACCAAGGCUUUGACGGGUAGCCGGCCUGAGAGGGUGACCGGCCACAUUGGGACUGAGAUACGGACCAGACUCCUACGGGAGGCAGCAGUGGGGAAUAUUGCACAAUGGGCGGAAGCCUGAUGCAGCAACGCCGCGUGCGGGAUGACGGCCUUCGGGUUGUAAACCGCUUUCGACUGUGACGAAGCGUGAGUGACGGUAAUGGGUAAAGAAGCAACGGCUAACUACGUG